GAGUUUGAUCAUGGCUCAGGAUGAACGCUAGCGGCAGGCCUAACACAUGCAAGUCGAGGGGUAACAGGGAGAAGCUUGCUUUUCCGCUGACGACCGGCGCACGGGUGCGUAACGCGUAUACAAUCUGCCUUAUACUGGGGUAUAGCCUUUAGAAAUGAAGAUUAAUCCCCCAUAGUCUCUUAGAGUGGCAUCAUUUUAGGAGUAAAGGUUACGGUAUAAGAUGAGUAUGCGUUCUAUUAGUUUGUUGGUGAGGUAACGGCUCACCAAGGCUACGAUAGAUAGGGGCCCUGAGAGGGGGAUCCCCCACACUGGUACUGAGACACGGACCAGACUCCUACGGGAGGCAGCAGUGAGGAAUAUUGGACAAUGGAGGCAACUCUGAUCCAGCCAUGCCGCGUGCAGGAAGACUGCCCUAUGGGUUGUAAACUGCUUUUAUAUAGGAAGAAACCUACUUACGUGUAAGUAGCUGACGGUACUAUAAGAAUAAGGAUCGGCUAACUCCGUGCCAGCAGCCGCGGUAAUACGGAGGAUCCAAGCGUUAUCCGGAAUCAUUGGGUUUAAAGGGUCCGUAGGUGGAUAAUUAAGUCAGAGGUGAAAUCUUGCAGCUCAACUGUAAAAUUGCCUUUGAUACUGGUUAUCUUGAGUUAUUAUGAAGUAGUUAGAAUAUGUAGUGUAGCGGUGAAAUGCAUAGAUAUUACAUAGAAUACCAAUUGCGAAGGCAGAUUACUAAUAAUCAACUGACACUGAUGGACGAAAGCGUGGGUAGCGAACAGGAUUAGAUACCCUGGUAGUCCACGCC
rnacentral:rRNA from 1 species